CAGGGGGUAUUUUAUAUAAAAUAUUAGUUUUGGGGAUUAAUGAAAUGGUGUUUGCCUUUCUCCUGA
rnacentral:tRNA from 2 species